AAAUAGUCAUAGUAUAGUAUGUCGAAAAAAAUGAUGAAAAUCAUUGUAUAAGAUGUCAAAGAAGUUCUGGACGAACGUGCAAACUCCA